CGGGAGGCAGCAGUGGGGAAUAUUGGACAAUGGGGGCAACCCUGAUCCAGCCAUGCCGCGUGUGUGAAGAAGGCCUUAUGGUUGUAAAGCACUUUAAGCGAGGAGGAGGCUACUUUGGUUAAUACCCAGAGAUAGUGGACGUUACUCGCAGAAUAAGCACCGGCUAACUCUGUGCCAGCAGCCGCGGUAAUACAGAGGGUGCGAGCGUUAAUCGGAUUUACUGGGCGUAAAGCGUGGGUAGGCGGCUUUUUAAGUCGGAUGUGAAAUCCCCGAGCUUAACCUGGGAAUUGCAUUCGAUACUGGGAAGCUAGAGUAUGGGAGAGGAUGGUAGAAUUCCAGGUGUAGCGGUGAAAUGCGUAGAGAUUUGGAGGAAUACCGAUGGCGAAGGCAGCCAUCUGGCCUAAUACUGACGCUGAGGCACGAAAGCAUGGGGAGCAAACAGGAUUAGAUACCCUGGUAGUCCAUGCCGUAAACGAUGUUUACUAGCCGUUGGGGCCUUGAGGCUUUAGUGGCGCAGCUAACGCGAUAAGUAGAC
rnacentral:rRNA from 1 species